GAUGAACGCUGGCGGCGUGCCUAAUACAUGCAAGUCGAGCGAACAGAUGAGGAGCUUGCUCCUCUGACGUUAGCGGCGGACGGGUGAGUAACACGUGGAUAACCUACCUAUAAGACUGGGAUAACUUCGGGAAACCGGAGCUAAUACCGGAUAAUAUAUUGAACCGCAUGGUUCAAUAGUGAAAGACGGUUUUGCUGUCACUUAUAGAUGGAUCCGCGCCGCAUUAGCUAGUUGGUAAGGUAACGGCUUACCAAGGCAACGAUGCGUAGCCGACCUGAGAGGGUGAUCGGCCACACUGGAACUGGGACACGGUCCAGACUCCUACGGGAGGCAGCAGUAGGGAAUCUUCCGCAAUGGGCGAAAGCCUGACGGAGCAACGCCGCGUGAGUGAUGAAGGUCUUCGGAUCGUAAAACUCUGUUAUUAGGGAAGAACAAUGUGUAAGUAACUAUGCACGUCUUGACGGUACCUAAUCAGAAAGCCACGGCUAACUACGUG
rnacentral:rRNA from 1 species